rnacentral:rRNA from 1 species
UAACUACCCAUCAGAGGGGGAUAACACUUGGAAACAGGUGCUAAUACCGCAUAACAGUUUAUGCCGCAUGGCAUAAGAGUGAAAGGCGCUUUCGGGUGUCGCUGAUGGAUGGACCCGCGGUGCAUUAGCUAGUUGGUGAGGUAACGGCUCACCAAGGCCACGAUGCAUAGCCGACCUGAGAGGGUGAUCGGCCACACUGGGACUGAGACACGGCCCAG